rnacentral:sRNA from 1 species
UUCUGGUCGGUCUUCCAAAGCAGGAGAA